rnacentral:lncRNA from 1 species
CCGUGCACCUUGGCGUCGCACGCCGCGCACAGGAACGCCGCGUCCGCCUCGCAGUGCACGGCCGCCGCCGCGCCACAGAGCGCGCACCGCUCCACGCCGCCGCCGCCACCCAUCCCAACACUAUCUCCCUCCUCUCCGAUCGCGUCGCGCGCCGUGACGAAUUAAGCGGCCCCGGCUACCUCGGCGCGCGUAUUUAAAGCGCCGAGCUGAGCUCGAGCUAACACACGAUCUCUCUCUCUCUCUCACGCACAGACACACAAAAAAGCAGCGAUUUUUAUCUCGAUCACACGUGCAACAACCGGCGUACAUGGAACGGACGAUGGGAACGGAAUGUGACGACGAAAUAUUUGUAAGGACAUGGAAUUCGCAACGUCGUUGUGCCCGUCACACACACAAACAUGCUACUACACGACGGCACACAAAC